UCAGGGCAUGCCUCAGGCCAUCUUCUUUCUCAUUCCUCUUUACUGCCCCAGGCCUUGGCUUCCAGACUGUACAAUACCAAACACCACCUGCACACCUCUGCCUCAGGGCCUUUGCACGCGCGGUUCCCUCUCCUUGCCACUGAGCCUCACGGCUCCCCCUCGCCCAUUCUGUUCACAGUCUCAGCCCUCCCAUCUCCCGCUGUGGCUCACCUUCCACUCACCCCUGCCCCACGCCAUUAUGCUCUCCUGUCUCCUUUCCAUAGGCUCCCGAAAACUGGAGUCUGUCCCAUUCGCUGACCUCCCCAGCUCCCAGCACCCAGCACAGUGCCUGCAGCCAGCAAGAGCUCAGCGGGCGGCUGCCCAAAGUGCCUCCGACCAGUUAGCUCAGGCCUCCCCCAGCCGCGUCACAGCUGCCCUUUCCCCUGUCUAGACUGUGCGUCUGCCAGAGUAUCCCAUGUGAACUUUUUCACUGUCCUCAGAAGUCGGCUCACACCUCGAUCCUUUGUCCCAGACAACCUUUCUCUAAAACCCCUUUCUUUUGCUCUGCUUUCUUCUCUUCUGCGGCUUGUGACCAUCUACACUUAACACGAGCUUACUUCUCCGUUCUUUGCUGUCCGCCCUCUGCCCUCACAGGAAGGAAGGUGCUGCUGCCUCAGCCAGGCCCUAGCUGAGGGGCUCGCGAGAGACCGGGGAGCACUUCCGUCCUCAAUUGCCUGUAGCUGAACCUCCCACAGACCCCCUGGGUGGAGUGGUGGCAAGACCCCUCUGGGACAAGGCCAGAGCUUUCCGGCCGAUCGGUGAUGGCAGAUGGUCAGGAUCUGUGGCCCAGGUGGGGAGGCCCAGUGAGUGUGCAAGGCAGCUGGAGGUGUGUGCGUUCUGCGGCCCGGGGAAGGGGUGGGUGUGUGCGCGCACAUCUACAUGCUGUUUCCGAAGGGGACAGGAGGUCCGGCGGGGGCGGGUGUGGCCCACGUCCCUUCCUGAAGGGGCAGAGUGGCCUGAAACGACAGUACAAGCAAGAGGAGGGCCCCACGGGGGACCUCUCACCAGUUCCUAAAAAAAGAAAAUGAAAAAGAAAAGAGGAAGAAAAAUAAAAAAGGGGGGGGGUAAAGACAAGACAAAAGCAAAAAAGGGAAAGAGAAGAAAUCAAGCAAAAAGAAAAUCCCAGAGUCUGGUGAGGGAAAAAGGCACAGUUAACGGCUGUGUUCACGGAGGUGAGAGGUGCCGGGUCUCACUGGAAGGAAAGGAAAGAGGUAGCGUUGAACCAUCCCAGAAGGGGCUCUGGGCUCAUACUGGAAGGUUUACUGUUUGAUCUUUACAAGAAGCAGGAGGCCCUGGGAGGGAGCAAGGCCCACACCGUCCCCUGCAUUCUCGCUUGCUAGGGAAGCCGUGGGGUGGCAGGUUCGGGGCUCUGGUAGUCGUCGUUUACUCUUCGCAAAAAGAUGUGAACAGUCAUGGAAGUUUCUACCUCUCUUAGGACAGCCCUUGGGUUCCCUUUAAAAUGUGACCAACAUGGUGCAAAGUUUUCAUCGGAACAGAGAAGGGAAUCUACUUCUCCCUGCUUCUCGCACGAAGGAGGAGAGAGACCGUGGACCGGAUCAGGCUAAGACCUUCCAAUCCUGAGGCCUGUUCAGGAAAGAGCAAGGGUGUUUCGGGAAACAAGUGGAAAUGUGGCAGACACACCUCUCGCACCACGGGCUCAGGGCGAAGGCAGAAGCAACCGGCCGCCACCAAGCCCACCCGGGGACAUGAGGCCCUGGCCUCCCGAAGCCCGCAUCUGGUCUACUGCCUUUGGAGACCGGCCUCAAGGGGGGUUCUGGAAGCUGCCACGUUAGUCCCGAGCAGGCGGCCUGGAGUGUUCUGCCUCCCUCUCCGGCCCUGCGAGGCGGCCCUGAGCCCGCGGGCCUCCCUUCUGCCCCACGGAACCCCGGCCAAGGCCCCUCCCCGACAGCAGACACCACCAGAAGCGGCCCGAGUUCGUGAAGAACCAUCGGCAAAUGCAGACAAGUUCGAGAAAAGAAAACCAAGGACAGAAGGAGCACUGAAUGAAACCAAAAAACCAAACAAAGGAAAGAACGGAAGGUCCAGCAGUGCCAUGGAGUCACUCCGUUUCGUAAGGGAACAACAUGGCUUCGGAGAGACGCGCCGUCGGGGCGGGACGGACCAGGUGGCGCGGAGGGAAGCACCAUGACCGUGACCGUGAGCAGAGGCCGCAAGACCGGACAGAAGAGAGGGAAGAGGCGGGGAGGCUUUUUCUCCCCAGAGAUGCCAUUUAUGAGAGAAAAGGGGACUCAAGACUCACUCCCAGCGGCACUGGUGGGAUGGGCGGCGGAGAGAAUUACGUGAGUAGGGGCAGAAAGAUUGGUUACGUCAUGGAGCUGGCCGAGGACCGAAGACCGCCGGCGCACGGCGCCCUGAAAUGAACCGCUUCUCUUGAAGGAUGACAUGAGCAGCAAAGCAAUUCUGGCUCCUGAUGCAAGCUGGCCACCUACUCUCGCCUUUGUGGGACCGCUAGUUUCAGCCGGGGUCUGACACGGGGCCAGGCUUCGUGGAAGCAGGCAGCUCGAGUGCUCGGACUUCCCUCGCCCCAACCCAAAGGAACAUGUGCAUCGUUUUGACUCCGAGACACGUGGUAGAAAAGACUUUCGCCCUCUUUUGCCGCCGAGCUCCACCGAGACCCACGCAUAAGGCGCACUGAGCGGCCACAGGGGUCUGGCACAGUGUCUUCUGUGCCUCAGUGCGCUGGAGGAAGAGGACCCGUGCCGCAUGCCACCCUCUCUUUGGGGGGGGGGCUCUUCUCCCUGGAUGGCCAAAAGGUCUCUAAAAUCUGUCUCGAGAGGGCAUUCCUAAUGGCAGCAAAGGCAACAAGGGAAGGAAAAGAUGCUUUUCCUGCCCCUGAUUUGGCCUCUCUUCCCGGUGUCCCGAUGGGAUGAUAGUAUCAGUCAAAAUACCUCAAAAUUGCUCCCCACCCCACAAAAUUUCAGUUGCUGCUGAAGCUUCUCACUGGUUCAUAAUGGAACGGGGACUAGACCGCGUUGUGACCGCUUCGACGAGCUCCAUGUGCUCGCUUUUAAGGACUCUUUUUUAUUUGGGAAUGCCCCCCACCCAACUCUUUGGCGUAUUGCUAUGUUAGUA